AAGGAGGAGAACAAACGACAACCGCAGCGAAAAACGACGAGAAUUAUUCAUCGCCAUCAUCGUGCUCUUCUUCUUUUUCUUUUUCUUUGUUGUUUUUCUUGCUGCUGCUGCUGUUCUCAUCAUCCUCCUGUAAUGUUAUA
rnacentral:ribozyme from 1 species